AUACUUGCCUGGCAGGCGAGACACCGUGAACAGGAAGGUGGUUUUCCCAGGGCGAGGCUCGCCCAGUGCACUGCGGGUGUGCUGACCCCUGCGAUUUCCCCAAAUGCGGGAAACUCAACUGCAUAAUUUGUGGUAGUAGGGGACUGCGUUCACCCUCUCCACUA